AUUGAACGCUGGCGGCAGGCCUAACACAUGCAAGUCGAACGGUAGCACAGAGAGCUUGCUCUCGGGUGACGAGUGGCGGACGGGUGAGUAACGUCUGGGAAACUGCCCGAUGGAGGGGGAUAACUACUGGAAACGGUAGCUAAUACCGCAUAACGUCGCAAGACCAAAGUGGGGGACCUUCGGGCCUCACACAAUCGGAUGUGCCCAGAUGGGAUUAGCGAGUAGGUGGGGUAAUGGCUCACCUAGGCGACGAUCCCUAGCUGGUCUGAGAGGAUGACCAGCCACACUGGAACUGAGACACGGUCCAGACGCCUACGGGAGGCAGCAGUGGGGAAUAUUGCACAAUGGGCGCAAGCCUGAUGCAGCCAUGCCGCGUGUAUGAAGAAGGCCUUCGGGUUGUAAAGUACUUUCAGCGGGGAGGAAGGCGGUGAAGUUAAUAACUUCACCGAUUGACGUUACCCGCAGAAGAAGCACCGGCUAACUCCGUGCCAGCCGCCGCGGUAA
rnacentral:rRNA from 1 species